rnacentral:rRNA from 1 species
ACGUAGGAGGCGAGCGUUAUCCGGAUUUACUGGGUGUAAAGCGCGUGCAGGCGGUCGUGUAAGUGGUGCGUGAAAGCUCCCGGCUCAACCGGGAGAGGACGUGCCAAACUGCAGGGCUAGAGGCAGGUAGAGGCGUGUGGAAUUCCGGGUGUAGUGGUGAAAUGCGUAGAGAUCCGGAGGAACACCAGUGGCGAAGGCGACACGCUGGGCCUGGCCUGACGCUCAGACGCGAAAGCAUGGGGAGCGAACGG